rnacentral:lncRNA from 1 species
CUGAAAACUAAUGCAAAGGAAAUGUUUCAUGGGAUGCUAUUUACAGAAUGACACUUACAAGGAUAAUUUAACACUUGUGGCAGAUGUCUAACUGAGGAUAUUCCAAAACCAAGAAGAAUAGAUGAAGUCUUGAUCAAAAUCAUCCUUCAAAAAGUAUAUUUGAGAGCCAAUUUGAGACCUCAGUCGGCUAGAAAACUAGGAGAACUGAAUGUAUACCCAACG